rnacentral:rRNA from 1 species
CAGUCGCCGCGGUAAUACGUAGGGUGCAAGCGUUAAUCGGAAUUACUGGGCGUAAAGCGUGCGCAGGCGGUUUGUUGAGACAGAUGUGAAAUCCCCGGGCUCAACCUGGGAACUGCAUUUGUGACUGGCAAGCUAGAGUGUGGCAGAGGGGGGUGGAAUUCCGCGUGUAGCAGUGAAAUGCGUAGAUAUGCGGAGGAACACCGAUGGCGAAGGCAAUCCCCUGGACCUGUACUGACGCUCAUGCACGAAAGCGUGGGGAGCAAACAGGAUUAGAUACCCCGGUAGUCCCUGUCUCUUAUAC